rnacentral:misc_RNA from 1 species
AACGCACAUUGCGCCCAUUAGUAUUCUAGUGGGCAUGCCUGUUCGAGCGUCAUUUCAACCCUUAAGCCUAGCUUAGUGUUGGGAGACUGCCUAAUACGCAGCUCCUCAAAACCAGUGGCGGAGUCUGUUCGUGCUCUGAGCGUAGUAAUUUUUUAUCUCGCUUCUGCAAGCCGGCCAGACGACAGCCAUAAACCGCACCCUCUUGGGGGGCACCUUUUUAAUGGUUGACCUCGGAUCAGGUAGGAAUACCCGCUGAACUUAA